rnacentral:rRNA from 1 species
GAUGAACGCUGGCGGCGUGCCUAAUACAUGCAAGUCGAGCGAAUGGAUUAAGAGCUUGCUCUUAUGAAGUUAGCGGCGGACGGGAGAGUAACACGUGGGUAACCUGCCCAUAAGACUGGGAUAACUCCGGGAAACCGGGGCUAAUACCAGAUAACAUUUUGAACCGCAUGGUUCGAAAUUGAAAGGCGGCUUCGGCUGUCACUUAUGGAUGGACCCGCGUCGCAUUAGCUAGUUGGUGAGGUAACGGCUCACCAAGGCAACGAUGCGUAGCCGACCUGAGAGGGUGAUCGGCCACACUGGGACUGAGACACGGCCCAGACUCCUACGGGAGGCAGCAGUAGGGAAUCUUCCGCAAUGGACGAAAGUCUGACGGAGCAACGCCGCGUGAGUGAUGAAGGCUUUCGGGUCGUAAAACUCUGUUGUUAGGGAAGAACAAGUGCUAGUUGAAUAAGCUGGCACCUUGACGGUACCUAACCAGAAAGCCACGGCUAACUACGUGCCAGCCGCCGCUGUAA